rnacentral:lncRNA from 1 species
AGCCACGAGCAGGACCAGCUCUUGGUAGAGAGGUCUGGGGAGACCAGGGCACAAAAAGUUAUGCCUCAAGGCUCUGGGGACCCGGGAGCCCUGUCUUGGGGAAGAUGCCACCCUCUCAGCCUCUGGCAGCCCAAAGACUGGGCCUCUGGGAACCUCAGGAUUCACUCCUUGGCCUUGACACUGGCUUCCCCAUAAGGGCCAUAAUCAGGGAGGCAUGGGGGCAUUCAGGCAGCCUCAGGACCUUUGGCAAGUUCUAGAGCAGGAGCAGCUAUGCCAGAGGGCUAGUGGUGGCUGCACCUGACAGGCUGGUCUGGGAGCGACACAAAUUCCCUUGGAGGGAUUCACAGGGACCCUUUUAGGUGGGGCGGUGGGGUGAGUUUUCAGGGGGCUUUGGCUGAGGACCUGACAGGGCAGGAAAGGGCAAGAAGAGAAACUUUGGGGUUUGGGCCAAAAAGAUAUGUUAUUCUGAGUCUGGGAGCUGACAAGGCCUGGCGACCUCUGGGCCCAGUGACCCAAGGGGAGCUUAUAAAAAACACGGGAUCACAUAUGCCUGAGGGAACAGUCCAGAACCUGGUCCCAGGUAAGGUCCUCAAAUCUUUAUUUCAGCCACAAAGAAGUGUAGGUCCCUUGAUUCAUCCGGAAGAGGAAUUCUUCCAGAAGGAGAAUAUUCAUCUAGGACGGGGCAGAAUUGGGAGAUAAGAGGUAAGAGACAUUUUCCUCAAAAAACUGGAGACCCAGCAGAAGGCACAGCUCCCUUCCUCCGGGGUCUUGGGUAAGUCAUUUCACCUCUCCGGGCCUCAGUUCGCUCAUCUAUGAAAUGAGGGCGUGUGUUUAGCUUCCUUCUGAGGCUCCUCCAACUCUGUCAUUGACGGGGCCUCCGGGCAGCACCCUGUCCCCGUCAUCUGUAGGGAAACAGAGGCUCCAGGGGAGGGAGCCCACCGGGCCCUGUGCGUCUGGCCAGGCUUUUCUGGCUGGAACUUUCUCUCCAGGUGCUGUGGGCUUUGUCAGCAGCCUGGGAGACGGGGGACAUGGAGGAUCACAGCGGCAGAUCUUAAAUCAAAGCCCGGGCCAUCCAUCUUCCAGAAGAGACGGAAAUAACUAGGAAGCCCUCCCUGAAUGACCCUCCGAGGCGCCUCUGACUCCCAAGGCUGCCAAUGUCGGACUCAGUCACAUUGGUGGCAACUGCCUUUUGCUGCUUCAUUGGGUGGGAUCCAAAUUCCCUGAGCAAAGACCUGUUUUCUCCUUCCCACCUCCCCCUCUAGCAUUUGCCAGAGAGCAGAGCACACAGUAGGUGCUCACAAAACAUGCUUGUCGAUUGCCCGGGAGAUUCCCAGGUGUG